rfam:Stegodyphus mimosarum contig15082, whole genome shotgun sequence.
GCCUUCGUGGUGUAACGGUUAGCACACUCGGCGCGUAUUCGAGAAAUCCAGGUUCGAAUCCCGGCGAGGGCA